rnacentral:rRNA from 1 species
UACGUAGGGGGCUAGCGUUGUCCGGAAUCAUUGGGCGUAAAGCGCGUGUAGGCGGUCCGGUAAGUCCGCUGUGAAAGUCGGGGGCUCAACCCUCGAAUGCCGGUGGAUACUGUCGGGCUAGAGUGCGGAAGAGGCGAGUGGAAUUCCUGGUGUAGCGGUGAAAUGCGCAGAUAUUCGGAAGAACACCAGUGGCGAAGGCGGCUCACUGGCCCGAUACUGACGCUGAGGCACGAAAGCGUGGGGAGCAAACAGG